UGGGGAAUAUUGCACAAUGGGCGCAAGCCUGAUGCAGCCAUGCCGCGUGUGUGAAGAAGGCCUUCGGGUUGUAAAGCACUUUCAGCGGGGAGGAAGGCGAUAAGGUUAAUAACCUUGUCGAUUGACGUUACCCGCAGAAGAAGCACCGGCUAACUCCGCGCCAG
rnacentral:rRNA from 1 species